AUUGAACGCUGGCGGCAGGCCUAACAAAUGCAAGUCGAGCGAGCGGCGGACGGGUGAGUAAUGUCUGGGAACCUGCCUGAUGGAGGGGGAUAACUACUGGAAACGGUAGCUAAUACCGCAUACCAUCAGAUGUGCCCAGAUGGGAUUAGCUAUUAGGUGGGGUAACGGCUCACCUAGGCGACGAUCCCUAGCUGGUCUGAGCGGAUGACCAGCCAAACUGAAACUGAGACACGGUCCGUAUUCCUACGGAAGGCAGCAGUAGAGAUUAUUGCACAAUGGGCGCAAGCCUGAUGCAGCCAUGCAGCGUGUGUGAAGAAGGCCUUCGGGUUGUAAAGCACUUUCAGCGGGGAGGCGUUACCCGCAGAAGAAGCACCGGCUAACUCCGUGCCAGCCGCCGCGGUAAUAC
rnacentral:rRNA from 1 species